rnacentral:rRNA from 1 species
UUUAUGGAGAGUUUGAUCCUGGCUCAGGAUGAACGCUGGCGGCGUGCCUAAUACAUGCAAGUCGAGCGAACAGAUAAGGAGCUUGCUCCUUUGACGUUAGCGGCGGACGGGUGAGUAACACGUGGGUAACCUACCUAUAAGACUGGAAUAACUCCGGGAAACCGGGGCUAAUGCCGGAUAACAUGUUGAACCGCAUGGUUCUACAGUGAAAGACGGUCUUGCUGUCACUUAUAGAUGGACCCGCGCCGUAUUAGCUAGUUGGUGGGGUAACGGCCUACCAAGGCGACGAUACGUAGCCGACCUGAGAGGGUGAUCGGCCACACUGGAACUGAGACACGGUCCAGACUCCUACGGGAGGCAGCAGUAGGGAAUCUUCCGCAAUGG